UUUCCUGCCACCAUGCCCUCCAUGUGCCCCAGUUGUACCAGAUGCUCGAUUUUCUAGAUUCUGUGAAACGUUGCGUCUUGUACAAUUGUGGCUAUUGGAAUGAUUUCAGCCCUUUGAUG
rnacentral:precursor_RNA from 15 species